UACGUAGGGUGCAAGCGUUGUCCGGAAUUAUUGGGCGUAAAGAGCUCGUAGGCGGUUUGUCGCGUCUGCUGUGAAAACCCGAGGCUCAACCUCGGGCCUGCAGUGGGUACGGGCAGACUAGAGUGCGGUAGGGGAGAUUGGAAUUCCUGGUGUAGCGGUGGAAUGCGCAGAUAUCAGGAGGAACACCAAUGGCGAAGGCAGAUCUCUGGGCCGUAACUGACGCUGGAGGAGCGAAAGCAUGGGGGAGCGAACAGGA
rnacentral:rRNA from 1 species